UGACUUGGCAUACAAGAUUUAGCGGUAACCUUGACCUCCAUAAAAACAAAUAGAAGCUGGAGCCUUCCUGCCGCCCAACCCUUGGUGUUAACUCUACCUAUCAGCAUUCUCACUGCUAGAAGAAGCCACAAGCUGUGCAAACCUGUCCUGAACUGCAGAAACUGUCAUCACUGAGCAGAGACUGAGGGGAAAUGGAGUCUGGAACUGACUCUCGAUGCUUGAUGCAUGUUUGGCAGGAGGCCAAAAUGAAUCAAAAUAAACAUCCAGAAGGAAAUGCCAAAUGCAAGAAAAUAACACCAACUUAAUAUGAUUUAAUAACAAUAAAGUGAUUAAGAUCCCAUUUAAAUACUUAAAGAUGUGAAGGAAGCCCUUAGCCAUGUUGCAGUAGACUCUGCUGAGGACAUGGUAAGUACCUGCAGAAUU